rnacentral:lncRNA from 1 species
AACAUCCACUACUCCAACAUGCAAAAAUCCAUUCCAGAAAUUCCAUUUCUUCUCGCAGCUUUAUUGCCAAAACAGCCAUGAAGGAAUAGAAUACAAGACAAAAUGUACAUGAUCAAAAACACCCAAACAAACCUAAUUUCCCGACAACCAACCUCUGAAUCCUCAAUCCAAACUUCCAGAAAGCAAACCCAGAACAUCAAAACAAGAUAAACACAUCAUAUCAAGACAUGUCAAACCUGCUGCAACUUCCUACUAUGAACUUGAGGUUCAUUUUCACUUCUGGGUUUCAUUCUUGAGCAUUAAUCAUGAUGCAAAUCAAAUCCAAAACGACAAAUACGC